AUGGACAAGUUACCACGGUUGAGCCACAAUAUAGCCUAUUUCUUACUUUAUACCCUUGUACUGAAUAUGACAGAGGAGUUGCAUUGUUUUUUUGAAAUGUCUACAGGUAUAGGCUUCACACUGCACCUGAGUGAUGAUGGCUAUUACUUGAUGUGUGACAUUCUGUUUUGAAAUAUUUUCUUUUUUUUAAUCUUGUUCAAAUACAUGUAUAUUUCAUGUAGGUACAUUUUAAUAAAUUCAAUAAUUGAGAAACCAAAGUGACAGAGUUGGUCUUGGUGUCAUGAUGUCAGACAAUACAAUGAUUCUCGUUUGAUAAGGAAUGACUAUGGUAUUGAGUUAUACUCUGCUCACAUUCUAGAGGAGCAGUGCUUGGAGAAAAGGUGGUGGAGGACCCACCUGGAUUUUUACAACUCAUGCAAACAAAAGCCAUGAAGAUGAGUUCUUUGGAGAUGCCUCUCAGAUUUCCCUGGGAAAGUCCACUCCUCCCUCUGGUCUUCCCAUUUCUGAAUCUGGGGGCAAACACGUAAAAUAAACAUUUACUUGACAGACCAUAGUAGUGCCUGAAAAAAAAAAAGCAAAAUGUUGAAGUAGUUAUCACAGACCAAUUAUCUUGCAGGAUUUGAAUUUGGAUUAUGUACAAUUUCUAACACUUUGUCAAAUACUAAUAACUCCUUUCGUAAUGGGUCAAACUAGGUCAAUAAUCUCUAAGAGAAAUCCGAUGUUUGAAUAUUAACUCUGCUGACUAAAGAGUUUGCCUUUACAUGGCCACGGUGGUCUAUUUGCUUGACUAAAUAAGGCCAAAGUCAUGUUUAGCUGAGAAUACGGCAAAUAUUUCUCCACUAAUGCUUGUACCAGCAAUAGUUGAAAUUUGGUUGAGAAAAAACCCCCCUCUAAAUUAUGUCUUUAACACUUUGAACCCAGUGACCCCUUUAAGAAAAAAAUGAAAAACACUUGAAAUUCAGUUGUAUACAUGUGAGCAAAUCACAUUAUGUAACAUAAUAUCCUGUAGUUUUGCUUUUUGAAUGCUGAAAAAUGUGUAACAGUAUGGUUGAACAGUGGACACAUUACCUUAUACUGUACAGAACCAGUGAACCAGUAAACAAACCCACGGUAUAUCAAUACUUCAGAAAUCCUUUCCAGUUAGCUUCAGGAUGUUUAGGAAAUGUGGCACAGUGAUUUGUAGAUCCUCUUAUACCAGUCACAUGGGUCAGUGUCGACUCCUUGGAUUUUUGCCGCCAAUGAUAAUCCAUAAAUAUAGCAACAACAAUGGAGAUGUUAGGGGAAAAAAGUGUAAAUCUAUGAUUUUUUUUUUAAUGUAAUACAUCUUUAAUAUGCAAUUAAAUAAAAGUGAGAAUAAAACAUGUAUUGCUUUUUCAAUGUCCACACCAUAAUUGAACAAAACAGGUGUUUUUCAGUAUAGAUCAAGAAACAGCCUACACUUGUGCUUACUUUCACUGUCUAUCUCCUUUCUCUGCUCUGCCUCUUUGCCUUUUUGACCGAAGCACAUGGAAGUUACAAACAAUCAAUGCAAUGGUAACAGACAUAAAUUAAACGGGGCCUGCUAGGGCACCGUAAUGUUAACUGCUAGAUUACCGGUAUUACCAUGACUUUGAUAGUCUCGAAAGUGGGGGGUUUUUAUUUUUUGGGAAAUUAUCUGUGGCUAAAUCUACCCAGUUUGCUUUCUUGGCUGUCAUAUGAUUCUAAAAUAUAUAUAAUCUGGUAUAUAAUAAUUCUGGUUAUCUGUUUGAAAUGAUAGGCCAAACCCCAAUGUAAAGUCUCGUACUGAAUUAGAUUGUCAUGCUGAUUUCAUAUACAGUGCAUUCGCAAAGUAUUCAGACCCUUUGACUUUUCCCACAUCGUUAAAUCAAUCUCCACACCAUACCCCAUAAUGACAAAGCAAAAACAGGUUAAGACAUUUUUGCAAAUGUAUUCAUUUUUAAACAGUUUGCUAUGAGACUCUAAAUUGAGCUCAGGUGCAUCCUGUGUCCCCAAGAACACAGUGGCCUCCAUCAUUCUUAAAUGGAAGACGUUUGGAACCACCAAGACUCUUCCUAGAGUUGGCCGCCCAGCCAAACUGAGCAAUCGGGGAAGAAGCGCCAUUGUUAUGAACCGUUCUCCUCUCAGCAGCCUCCACUGCUAGCUAAGUUAUAAAAUAUGACCUUACAGUGUUAGGCAAGAAUAUCAAGCUCAUAUUAUUGUAGAGGACAAUCCAGAUAAUGAUUAAUUAUGUAAUUUAUGACAUACUGUAGGGCAGCGAAAUCUACGUUUUGACAUUAAUUUUGUAACACCCUCUUGAAUUGCCACAUUUUUCUCUACAUUGUGUCACGAACCGGCUCAAAGCCCGUAACAAAAGGGAGACAACGUGGAGAUAAGGAGUAACAAACAUAUAUUUAUUAAAUAUAGUAAACUAAGUACAAUAUACAAUGGUGUGUGUAAUCAGUAAUCAGUAGUGUAAGUGAGUGUUUUGCAUGCAUGAAUGUGAUAAUGCAGGGUGUUGAAAGGUGCCAAAGCAAACAACCAAAAGGCCACCAAGAUACACAACA
ensembl:lncRNA